rnacentral:rRNA from 1 species
AGUGAACGCUGGCGGUAGGCCUAACACAUGCAAGUCGAACGGCAGCACAGUAAGAGCUUGCUCUUACGGGUGGCGAGUGGCGGACGGGUGAGGAAUACAUCGGAAUCUACUUUUUCGUGGGGGAUAACGUAGGGAAACUUACGCUAAUACCGCAUACGACCUACGGGUGAAAGCAGGGGAUCUUCGGACCUUGCGCGAUUGAAUGAGCCGAUGUCGGAUUAGCUAGUUGGCGGGGUAAAGGCCCACCAAGGCGACGAUCCGUAGCUGGUCUGAGAGGAUGAUCAGCCACACUGGAACUGAGACACGGUCCAGACUCCUACGGUAGGCAGCAGUGUGGAAUAGUGGACAAUGGGCGCAAGCCUGAUCCAGCCAUACCGCGUGGGUGAAGGAGGCCUUCGGGUUGUAAAGCCCUUUUGUUGGUAAAGAAAAGCAGCAGGUUAAUACCCCGCUGUUCUGACGGUACCCAAAGAAGAAGCACCGGCUAACUUCGUG